UUUGCGACAUUCGGAGCCUGUAACUUGAGGGUGCGCAGAGCCCAGGACUUGCAUAGCGCAGCCGCUGCGACCUGCCUCCACCCAUCCGCCAUGGCUCUCCUUGUCCGUGCACCACCGCUUCUUCUCCACCUACAGCCUCCCCCCACCACCGCGCAAGCUUUCUUCGUCCGGCAACUCGCAACCACACCCCGCCGCCGUCCCCUCUCCGCCCGCGUGCGCGUGCGCGCCUCCAACUCCGACCCUCCGCAGCAGGUCAACCUCUCCGUCCUCCGCUUCACCCUCGGGAUCCCCGGGCUGGACGAGUCGUACCUCCCGCGGUGGAUAGGCCUCGGCUUCGGCGCCCUCGUCCUCCUCAACCACCUCCUCUCGCCGUCCCCAACCCCCGCGCAGCUCAGGUCGGAGGCUCUGGGGCUGUGCCUGGCCGCGUUCUCAGCGGCGCUGCCGUACCUCGGGCGCUUCCUAGAGGGUGCUGGUGCUUCCAGCCGUGUGCCGUUGCCUGAAGGAAGCAGGCAGGUGUUUGUGAUUCCUGAUGAUCUGUCAACGGCGCAGAAAGAGGAUAUGGCCUGGGCGACAUAUGUUCUGCUGCAGAACACAAACACCACAUCAGUGCUCAUAGCAAUUGACAAUGUGUUGUGCAUCCGAGGAUACUGGGAUCCUCCUGCAGAUAUUUCCAAAUAUGCAAUGAUUGAUUGGUUCAAGAGUCAGAUGGAACAAGCUGGACUUGACAAUUUGAGCAGUGCUUUGUACAUUCCUAAUUUUUCUGACCAACCGUGCUGGUUUCAUCAGACACUCAGCUUGGGAAUAUUCUACCACAAGGAAUUCUUUCUGUGUUGGCACAACCAAUUUUGAGCAACCCUGAUCCAGCUAAUGGUGAAUCAAAAGCUGAAGGUGUCGUCCUGUUGGCCUCCAAUGCAAAGUAUGCAUACAGUGAGAAAGAUAUGGUUUGGAUAAGCACGGUUGCAAAUAAAUUUCGACUUGCGUAAAUCAUCACCACCCAAGUUGGACAAGAACAGAUGUUUUGAUUCUCUUAGUGGAUGGAUGUCUCAAGUCUGUGGUAACCAACAGGCAUACCAAGUCUGUGCUCGGAAUGAGUACUUUGCAAGAGAAGGAGGCAGAGGCGGAACACGCAAGUGGCGGUAUUAGUUGAUGGGCCUCAUAAUGCCACUACAUGUCUAAUUAGCACAAUAACCACCCCUUCUUAUCCAGCUGAAGGUGUGGUCUGAAUAAGAGCGUGGUUGGUUGGUUCCUAUCAGCCGAUCUCAACGCGUCAUCAUCAUCCUGUGACCAUGAUCUGCCUUGGCUUCUUGUGAACUCUCUGCGGCUUGAAAUCAUUUGUUCUAGAGCAUCAUCAGUUGGGCAUCCUUCCAAAGGCUUCUCCCAGGAGCCCUCUGCUGUGUUGUCUCACAAGCUUGAGAAUGCACCUACUACUACUUAGGUCGUCUCAUGCGGUGUUGUUUAAUGCAUGCCGUCUGAUAUGGUUGAAGCAUCAAGCUGUAUUCUGUACUGUAUGGUACCAUGUUCGCCCUGUGGUUACUGUCGCGCUGGAGAUCGAUCGGUUAAAUGGUCCA